rnacentral:rRNA from 1 species
AGUGAACGCUGGCGGUAGGCCUAACACAUGCAAGUCGAACGGCAGCACAGUAAGAGCUUGCUCUUACGGGUGGCGAGUGGCGGACGGGUGAGGAAUACAUCGGAAUCUACUUUUUCGUGGGGGUUAACGUAGGGAAACUUACUCUAAUACCGCAUACCCCCCACGGUUGAAAGCAGGGGAUCUUCGCACCUUGCGCGAUUGAAUUCGCCGGUGUUGGAUUAGCUAGUUGGCGGGGUAAAGGCCCACCAAGGCGACGGUCCGUAGCUGGUGUGGGAGGGUGAUCAGCGACACAGGAGCUGAGACGCGAUCCUGGGACCGACGGAAGGCAGCGGUGGCGAAGAUAGGAAGAAGGGCGGAAGCCUGAACCAGCGGUGCAGCGUGGAUGAAGAAGGCCUUCGGGUGGUAAAGCCCUUUUGUUGUGAAAGAAAAGCAGCAGGUUAAUACCACGCUGUUCGGACGGUACCGGUAGAGUAGGCACCGCCUAACUUGGU